rnacentral:rRNA from 1 species
UGAGUAACCUGCCCUUAGCUCUGGGAUAAGCCUGGGAAACUGGGUCUAAUACCGGAUAUGACUCCUCAUCGCAUGGUGGGGGGUGGAAAGCUUUAUUGUGGUUUUGGAUGGACUCGCGGCCUAUCAGCUUGUUGGUGAGGUAAUGGCUCACCAAGGCGACGACGGGUAGCCGGCCUGAGAGGGUGACCGGCCACACGUGGGACUGAGACACGGCCCAGACCUCCGUACGGGAGCAG